AUUGAACGCUGGCGGCAUGCCUUACACAUGCAAGUCGAACGGCAGCACGGGAGCUUGCUCCUGGUGGCGAGUGGCGAACGGGUGAGUAAUGCAUCGGAACGUACCCAGGAGUGGGGGAUAACGUAGCGAAAGUUACGCUAAUACCGCAUAUUCUGUGAGCAGGAAAGCGGGGGAUCGCAAGACCUCGCGCUCUUGGAGCGGCCGAUGUCGGAUUAGCUAGUUGGUGAGGUAAAGGCUCACCAAGGCGACGAUCCGUAGCAGGUCUGAGAGGAUGAUCUGCCACACUGGGACUGAGACACGGCCCAGA
rnacentral:rRNA from 1 species